rnacentral:rRNA from 1 species
UUGGAGGGCAAGUCUGGUGCCCGCAGCCGCGGUAAUUCCAGCUCCAAUAGCGUAUAUUAAAGUUGUUGCAGUUAAAAAGCUCGUAGUUGAAUUUCGAGAUCAGUACGCUGGUCGUGCCUUCGGUAUGCACUGGUGUCACUGGUUUCUCCCUUCUGAAGAACCGUCAUGUCAUUAAGUUGGUGUGGCGGGGAAUCAGGACUGUUACUUUGAAAAAAUUAGAGUGUUUAAAGCAGGC